GUACCGUCAAGCCAACCAGGUAUUAACCAGCUGGCCCAUCGUUCCCGCCGACAGAGCUUUACGAUCCGAAGACCUUCAUCACUCACGCGGCGUUGCUGCGUCAGGCUUUUCGCCCAUUGCGCAAUAUUCCCCC
rnacentral:rRNA from 1 species